rnacentral:misc_RNA from 1 species
UUUCCUAGGUGAACCUGCGGAAGGAUCAUUAUUGUAUAACCGAGGUGCGAGGGCUGUCGCUGACCCGAAAGGUCGUGCACGCCCGAGUGCCCUCACACACAUCCAUCUCACCCCUAUGUGCACCACCGCGUGGGUCCCCCUUUGGCUUGUUCGGAGGGGGGCUUACGUUUUCACACAAACUUUGUAUGCAGUGUAGAAUGUAUUUUUUGUUUUUGCGAUCACGCAAUCAAUACAACUUUCAACAACGGAUCUCUUGGCUCUC